AAAAAUGACUGCUGCUGCUAAACCCAGGACACCCUGAUGGACAGAUAGCUCCUGAGUUGUUUAGGUAUCCAUUAGCUCAUUCCUGCUGGGGAACACUACCUUAGCCAGAGAUCAGGAUUAAAAAAAAAAAAAAAUUGUAACAAAAAUAUUUAUCCAGAAAAUAAUCUCCCUUCUAAGGAGGCAAGCAUGGAUCCUGCCUGAUAAAAAUGCUUCAUUAUCCUUCUCUCUAAUACGUAAACCGCCUCAGGAAAAGGUGGUAAAAAAUAGAAAGAAAUUUAAGAGGAUUAAAAUGGAAAAUCUUUCUCCUCAUUCAAAACAUCCAGAGGUGAUUUAUCUUCAAAGUAUAUUAAAUUCUAACUCAUUUAAUCAUGCUUUGAUGUGCUUUUAAACAUACCCAAGUGGAGAAAAAGGAGAUACCAAAAACCAACGACAUUUUCACCACCAACCCCAAAGUAAAUUAUCACAAAAGUACAAAUCAUACUACUCAGCCCUUCUCUCAGGAUACCAUUUAUCAGGGAAGAUAUUUCUAGUCCUUUUUAUGGUUCUGCUUAGGUGACUGCAGCUUCCUUAAGGGAUUGGUGAAGGUGCAUUUCUUUUCUGCUGUCUUCUUCUUGGUUAAAUAGGCUAUACCCUGUAUGAUCUCCUCUUUAUGUAUAAAAAUCAAUGUUCCAUCAAAGAUUUAUCUUCAUUCUUCCUCUCCCCAUCCCAUUUGGAUACCUUUUGGGUUUUUGUGUGUUUUGUUUUACUGCUUGGAUUUUGGGUUGUUUGCACUGAAGUUCCUGAUGUUUUAAAACAUCAGAGGAUCCUAAUGUUUUUUCAGUUGCCUGGUUUGGGGCAGGAUCACUCACACCCAUCUGUAUAAUUCAAUUUUAAUUACACUGAUGUACAUAUUACUGUUUCCAGGUUGGUGCAGGAUGAACUAAUCAGUAGACUGCAGCAGACUUCUUUUGCAGAGCAGCACCAACAGAACAGGUAAAGCCGUAAUUCCCAAGAUACAAGUGAAAUAAGUGUCCUCAGUCAUAUAUGCAUCUGUGAAUAUAUGUUCUUUUGUUCAUUUCAAAAAAGCCUUAAAUAACAUGUUUCUUUUGGCUUAGCCUCUGAUCAUUGAUGGACUAGCACAUUUGCACCAUCCCUACACUUUUACAUCAGCUAUCCAUUAUGUGAAUUGAUUUAUCUUAUUCGUUGGAUAGCAUGCCAAGUGCAGGGGUGUCAGUACAUUAGAUAUUUGUGAAGAGACUGCAGACAGCUUGGUGACACUAUGUAAAUGAUAUUUAUUUCAAAUGCACUGAUAAAUGCUUUUUUGCAUUCUUUUAAUGGAAAUGCUGUAUUUCUAUAUAGGCUGAUAUUUACAUGUUGAUGGAGUCUCUUUUUCUGUUUUAACUAGAAACUCCAGUUUUUCAUAAGUGUGCAGUAAAAUGACAGUAAUCUGCUGCCAAAUAAAGCUGCUUUUUGCAACUACA